rnacentral:rRNA from 1 species
UGAAGGAAGGGCGUUCGGUGGAUGCCUUGGCUUGAAAUGGCGAAGAAGGACGUAGCAUGUCUGCGAUAAGCUUCGGGGAGGUGACGAGCAACCUUCGAACCGGAGAUCUCCGAAUGGGGAAACCCCACCGCUUCCGGCGGUGACCGAGCACCUUCUUGCGUUGUCUUUAUUGUGUAGCAGUGAGUGACUCUUGUCAUUCAAACUGACUACAAUUGUAAAGAUCGCGCGUGAAGGUGCUCGGGGCGAACCCGGGGAAUUGAAACAUCUUAGUACCCGGAGGAACAGAGACCAAUACGUGGAAUUUCUUCUGCUCCGAUCAGUACGCUGAUCGCUGCGGAAGGAAUUCCCGGGAUUUCCUGAGUAGCGGCGAGCGAAACGGAACGAGCCCAAACCCGCACACCAACUUUGGCAUUGUGCUUGUUGUGCUUCACGAGUAAGCAGAUAAGUUCGAUGUAUGCGCUGCGUUCUCUACUUCACCAAGAAGUUCGGAGUACGCACGCACAACGAUGCCAAAGUUGGUGUGCGGGGGUUGUAGGGUAACGGUGUCAUGCUUGCAUGUGCAGAGUUACAAAAUGAGUGGAUAGUGGAACUUGCUGGGAAGCGAGACCGCAGAGGGUAAUAGUCCCGUACGCGAAAUCCACCUCAUCUCUGUUGUCGUUAUUCCUGAGUAGCGCGGGACACGAAUAGCCUGCGCGAAUCUGCCGGCACUAACCGGUAAGGCUAAAUACAUUUCAAGACCGAUAGUGGACCAGUACCGUGAGGGAAAGGUGAAAAGAACCCCGAGAGGGGAGUGAAAUAGAUCUGAAACCGAACGCUUACAAGGAGUCGGAGCGGUCGCAUCGUGUGGGACACGAUGCGAGUAUGAGGGACGAGUAUGAGUAUGAGGAGACCAUGGUGCCGCAGGCGCCAUGGGGGGCGACGCAACGCGUCGCUCCCUCAUACUCAUACUCACUGCGCAUACACGCGCAUCGCGCUUCGCGCGAUGCGACCGUCACGGCGUGCCUAUUGAAGAAUGAGCCGGCGAGUUGAUGUGUGCGGCUUGGCUAAGGGGGGCAGCCCCGGAGCCACAGCGAAAGCGAGUGUGAACAGCGCGACCAGAUGGUCGUACACAUCAGACCCGAAAGCAGGUGAGCUUGCCAUGAGCAGGGUGAAGCGACGGUAACACGUCGUGGAGGCCCGAACCCAUUGGUUGUUCAACGCCUUGGGAUGACUUGUGGUAGGGAGUGAAAAGCUAAUCGAACUUGCUAAUAGCUGGUUCUCUCCGAAACAGCUUUAGGGUUGGCGUUGCGCGUUCCCAUCCGGGGGUAGAGCACUGGAAGAGUUGAAUAGGGCGAAAGCUCGUCACCUCUAUCAAACUCCGAAUACCGGAUGGUCAAGAGCGCAGCAGUUAGACUCCGGGGGCGAAGCUCCGGUGGUCGAAAGGGAAACAGCCCAGAUCGCCAGUUAAGGUCCCAAAAUCCAUGCUCAGUGCAAAGAAGGAGGUGGGGUUCCAGUGACAAUGAGGAUGUUGGCUUAGAAGCAGCCACCAUUUAAAGAAAGCGUAACAGCUCACUCAUCAAGGGACCCUGCGCCAAAAAUGAUCGGGGCUAUAAGCAUGGUACCGAAACUGCGGGCGUCAAUGCGAAGCAUUGACCGCGGAACUAUGCGGAACGAACGCGGACGAACGCGGAAUCCCUGUUGGAGUUUUAUAACUCAAACGCGGAAUUCCGCGAUGAUCUGCGUCUAAUCCGCGUAUGUUCUGCGGCCACUGCUUCGCAGUGGCGCGGUAGGAGAGCGUUCCAUUCUGCGAUGAAGCGGAAGGCGGAAGCCACCGUGGAGCGUAUGGAAGUGAGAAUGCCGGCACGAGUAACCGCAAGAGGGGUGAGAUCCCCCUCCGCCGAAAUCCCGAGGUUUCCUUGGCGAUGGUGAUCAGCCAAGGGUUAGUCGGGCCUAAGCCGAUCCCGAAAGGGGGAGGCGAUGGACACAGGGUUAAUAGUCCCUGACCUCGCGUAGGUGCGAUGGAGUGACGGAGAUCUGUAGUCUGGGCGCAUUAUUGGCUUUGCGUCCAUGCGCUGAGGAGGGUGCUUAGGCAAAUCCGGGCACCGCUACUCCAAGGCGAGUGGAAAGCCCUCGGCUUCGGCCCUGGGUGAUCCGGAUGAGCGGUCUUCCAAGAAAAGCUUCUAAGCAUAACCUGCGUGAGACCGUACCUAAACCGACACAGGUGGGAAGGUCGAGAAGACCAAGGCGAACGAGUGAGUGCUCCUCAAGGAACUCGGCAAACAAGCGGCCGUAACUUAGGGAUAUGGCCUCCCGCACACCAAUUUUGGCAUUGUGCUUGUUGUGCUGCUCAAGUCAGCAAACAAGUUCAGUGUAUGCGAUGCGUUACGAUCUUCAUGUAGAGGUCGGGGAACGCACGCACAACGAUGCCAAACUUGGUGUGCGGGCGCAGCGAAAGAGUGCCUGGCGACUGUUUACCAAAAACACAGCUCUCUGCAAACUCGUAAGAGGACGUAUAGAGGGUGACGCCUGACCAAUGCCGGAAGGUUAACCAUGGAUGGUGUGGGCAUCGUGCUGACGCACGAUGCGAGUAUAAGGGACGAGUAUGAGUAUGAGGAGAACGUGUUGCCGUUGGCAACACGUUCAGCGACGCGCAGCUCCCUCAUACGCAUACCGAAUCCUCAUACGCACGCAUCGCGCAUAGCGCGAUGCCCAUGCUGGGCUAUGUAAGCCCCGGUCAAUGUCAGCGAUAACUAUAAUCGUUCUAAGGUAGCGAAAUUCCUUGUCUGGUCUGAAAGAUGCCAGUGUGGGCGGUGACGCCCACAGCAAAUCCGGCUAAAAACGGUGGAGCCUUCACGGGAGCCCUGAAAAAGGACAGGGUGGUGAACGAAAGGUAAUACCGUGGCAACAAUUCGGUCAUAUGACCGAUGCGAGCUGUAUCGACUUUGGUCACUACCAUCUGUUGGUGACCAGGAUGGACAGGAGUACACUGAGUUUCAGUGGAAAUCGUUCAUAACACGCCGGCUCUGAAGCACAGAAAUCUUGCUGAAUACCUCUCCGGAUAUACGGAUGGUGAAGGAUGCUUCGGUGUGUCGUUCUCACGACGCCCCAAGCUUUCCGUUGGCUGGGAAGUAAAGCCAAGCUUCGCUCUCGGCCAGAACCAUGACCGUGCCGAAGUGCUCUACCUCAUGCAGGCGCACUUCGCGUGCGGGCACAUCCGGCGAGACUACAUCGGCACGAAUCACACGUUGAAGUUCGAGGUGCGCAAAUUGGAUGACCUUCUCACGAAGAUCAUUCCGCACUUCACCACGUUCCCCUUGCUCUCGAGCAAGCAGAACGACUUCACACUCUUCGCACAGAUCUGCGCGCUCGUCGCGCAGGAAGAGCAUAGGCGUGUUGAGGGACUGUCGACCAUCGUUGGUCUCGCGUUCCAGAUGAACACGAGUGGCCGACGACGGUACACAAAAGACGACAUCCUCUCGAGCGCACCGCUUCAGAUGAAGAUAUAGUCAGUGCCUCCAGAAAUGGGGGAAGCACACGAAAUUCAGACGCGCACGAAUGGUGUAACGACUGGGCAGCUGUCUCGAGGAGUAGCUCGGUGAAAAUGCAAUACCGGUAAAGAUGCCGGUUACCCGCGGAAAGA